GCACGGUGUUUUGCGGUGAAUACUAUGAAAGACAAAACAAAAAAAAAAUUCUAUACAUUUUAAAUUAGUUUAUUAUGAGCCGUAGAGCGCGAUGCCCUAAGAAAGUGCUCGCAGUACACAGUUUAGGAACCGCUGUUCUAGACGAAUAUAAAUAUGGGCAUAAUUUUUUUCUUUUAUCAAAAUAUUAACCAAUGAGUGUUAUGCCCAUGAGCAUACCUAUCAUUUUUUUAUCUUUUUAAAAAGUUCUAGGAAGAUUUAAGUUUAUAAACAUUGCCCAACAAGUCAAUUUUUGACACUCUUCAGCUACUUAUAAUAGUCAACACUUGUCCAAAACUCUAUAAUUCCAACACAGAUGCCAUUUUAUAGUACGUGAAUUAAUUUUUCCCAUCUACAUAUAUUCAUUACAAUACUGUGAUAAAAAUUAAGAAAUAAUUCACUAACAUUAUUUGUUCGAAACAAAAUGAAAACGUCUAACUCGGUCAUCAACGUUUUAUUUGUAUGUCUCAUCUGUUCUCUCGCAAAGGUGAGCUGUAAGAAAACCAAAGGUGGCACGCCUACUUAUCAAGAAUUCUCAGAUACCAUAAACUCAACUAUACAUAAAAUAGAAGAAGUAUUUGAUCCCUACGUCAGUCAUGGUGAUCCGUAUGCUAAUAAGCCGACGUUUUGCGACGAUCAAAAGUGUGGUGGUUGUUCAGGUAAACCAUUCGAAAACAUUAACAAUUGUAUUAGAUGGUGUAAACCGCCGUGCAUGUGCAUAAGUCCCGCUAACGGAUCAGGCAACGACUUAACGUGUUUAAAGACCAGACACAGAAGGGCCAAUAGUGAAAACUGAAUUCGAACAGAGAAAUGAACAAAUUCGACUUUUAGAAAUUCGUAUACAGCGUAGACGCGUAGUAGUAGCAGGUAUACUGUGUAGAGAAAUAAGACUUAAGAAAGUUUAAUUAAAAAAUUAAUGUAAUAUAAUUAAUAAGAGAAGAGUUACAAAUAUUACAUUUUAUCGAUUUUCAAUUCAAAUACCAGCUUAUAUAAAUAUAAUCAAUUAACAAUUUAAGUAUUUAUCAAAUUAUUUAUCCCAUAAAGAUUAGCACCAAUUUAUACACAACACUAAUUAAAAUUUUUUUUUUCAGAUCUAGAUAAUCUAAUACUGUUUAUAGUAUCAUAAAGUUGUAUUAUAUUAUAAAUUAUAAUAAAUGCUUUGUGUAUUAAAAUAUAUUUUGUGGACCUAUUAUAAUACCUAUUAUAUAAAAUCACAAAAUUUAAAUUAAUUUUUUGUAUUAAUUGGCAGUUAUUUGGUUAUAAGUAGUUUUAAAGAACAUUAAUAAAAACAAUAUUUUAGUAUAAACUUAUAAUAAUGAAUUUUAUAGAAGUUUAAAAAUAAACAUAAUAAUGUAUAGAAAUGAUCAAUUAAUCAUAAACCAAACAAAAAUAACAUUUACUGAACAACAUACCUAUCAAAAUUUAGAUAAUGAUAUAAUAUACUAUUCAAUAGAUAAAAAUAUUUGCUAUUUAUGCUAAAUAAAUUAAUAUUUUUUUGAUACUGCGAUAGUGCAAUUAUAUGGAUGAGCAAAUACGUAUCACAGAUAUAUAAAACUAGAUAGCCGACUCGAUCUUAACAUCGAAGUACCGCCGUCAUUUAUAAAGCUAUCAAUGCUUACAUUAUACACCGUAUCGCAGAAAAUAUUCGUAUCAUAAUUCAUAAUAAUUAUAUCUAUUCUGUGUACUAACCACAAACAGUUAACACUUGUUUUUAAGUAUUUACAUUUUGCUACUUUUUUUAAAUUUCAAGCAUUUAGUCCGUGAUUUCAAGAAACUCAUCUCAAUUAUUAGAUAAAAUUAAAAACGUUUGUUUAACUGAAUUUUCAUUUAUAUCCAAUGUGACAUUUAAGAUGUUGUUUACUGAGAUAUUUAUAAUGUUAAUUAUUAUUAAAUAAUAUGAAAUUCAAAAUUUUAAAUAUUUAAUUUAAUUGCUCUCAGCUACUGAUGUCUGAUAUGUAUUCAAUUUUUUAAAAAUAAACUCACUAUUUUACACAAA